UUCUCCUCUUGUCUCUCUUACCUGUAGACGUUUCCCAGUGGUGAGUGGGUAUAGAGCUCCCCUGUUCACAGCUCACCUUUGGAAUAAGACUGGGGAAGUUCAAGGUGCAGCAAUCUGGUUGGAAGGAGGUCUUGUGUUGAAACUGCAUUUACAGUGUUAACAAUUGGUUUUCCUUAGAUGUAUAUUUACUUGGGGUGGCUUUGGGCAUAUAAUGGAGAUUAUGGAGAGGCUGGUGGUGGCGAACUCCUCCACAAUAAGUCACUCUUUGGCAUAUAUAAUUCAGACAUAGCCAGGUUUAAAUCCGGGCUGAGCCACUUAAUUUAGUUAUGCAGCUUAGGGAAAUUACUUGAGUUUUUCGAGUCUCAUUUUCUUUGUCUGGGAAAUGAAGGCAUAAUAGUAUCUCUUUUACAGGGUCAUUGUGGGAGUUAGAUGGACAAGGAACAUAAAGUGGUUAAGACAGUGUCUUAAUAACUGGUUGCUAUUGUUCAUAUUCCUGUGUCAGUCCAUUUCUUGGCUACCAGGCUCUUUUCCUUGGAGUCAGCAACAGCCCCUGUUUUUCACUCUAGCUUUUGAACCAUCUCUGGCUCCUAGUCUUUUGUAUUUCAGCUCCCAGCCAGUGCCAAUGUUGUUGAACUAGAGUAUCUGAUCUACUCAGAAGCAGCAUGGCCUCCUAUUGAAUUUGGUAUUGGACUUCUAGUCUUGGCCAUGCUAUGGGUUGAAAGCUGUCUGGCUUAGAAAUGUCUCUCUGCCCCUUCCACAGUUAGCCAUGGCACAUGGCACAUGGCCAUGGCACGAAAGAGGGCAGAAGAAUCAGGUGUUAUAUGCAUAGCCUCUGGAGUUCAACUGCCUAGACUCAAACCCACUCACCUCCAUCACUAGGACUUUCUACGGUAGCAGAAAGGGAGUGAAUCCAGAAUCCAGAUUAAUGUGGAGACACCGCUCUGGGAAACUCAGCUUCCAAACCCACUCUACCACUUACUAGUAAGGCAACUCUGAAGACUUAUUUAACCCUUCUAAGAUAGUCCCCCCAUUAUUAAAUGGGGGAUUAUUAAAUGAUGGCUUAAUAAUAAUAAUUUUACAUAGUUACUGUGCAAAUGAAAAUCAAAUAAACUGCAUAAAGUACUUAUGUCCUUGCCUUGUACAAUUUUUAAGCAUCAUUUAAACAUUAAAUAAAAAUUGGUUCUAA